AGGACGAACGCUGGCGGCGUGCUUAACACAUGCAAGUCGAACGGUAAGGCCCUUUCGGGGGUACACGAGUGGCGAACGGGUGAGUAACACGUGGGUGACCUGCCCCUUACUCUGGGAUAAGCCUGGGAAACUGGGUCUAAUACCGGAUAGGACUUCAUGCUGCAUGGUGUGGGGUUGAAAGUUUUUCGGUGGGGGAUGGGCCCGCGGCCUAUCAGCUUGUUGGUGGGGUGAUGGCCUACCAAGGCUUCGACGGGUAG
rnacentral:rRNA from 1 species